CCUACGGGUGGCAGCAGUGGGGAAUAUUGCACAAUGGGGGAAAGCCUGAUGCAGCGACGCCGCGUGAGUGAAGAAGGAAUUCGGUAUGUAAAGCUCUAUCAGCAGGGAAGAAAAUGACGGUACCUGAGUAAGAAGCCCCGGCUAACUCCGUGCCAGCAGCCGCGGUAAUACGGAGGGGGCAAGCGUUAUCCGGAUUUACUGGGUGUAAAGGGAGCGUAGACGGCAGUGCAAGUCUGGAGUGAAAGGCGGGGGCUCAACCCCCGGAUUGCUCUGGAAACUGUACGGCUGGAGUGCAGGAGAGGUAAGUGGAAUUCCUAGUGUAGCGGUGAAAUGCGUAGAUAUCAGGAGGAACACCAGUGGCGAAGGCGGUUUACUGGACUGUAACUGACGUUGAGGCUCGAAAGCGUGGGGAGCAAACAGGAUUAGAUACCCUAGUAGUC
rnacentral:rRNA from 1 species